UAGGGAAUCUUCCGCAAUGGGCGAAAGCCUGACGGAGCAACGCCGCGUGAGUGAUGAAGGUCUUCGGAUCGUAAAACUCUGUUAUUAGGGAAGAACAUAUGUGUAAGUAACUGUGCACAUCUUGACGGUACCUAAUCAGAAAGCCAUGGCUAACUACGUGCCAGCAGCCGCGGUAAUACGUAGGUGGCAAGCGUUAUCCGGAAUUAUUGGGCGUAAAGCGCGCGUAGGCGGUUUUUUAAGUCUGAUGUGAAAGCCCACGGCUCAACCGUGGAGGGUCAUUGGAAACUGGAAAACUUGAGUGCAGAAGAGGAAAGUGGAAUUCCAUGUGUAGCGGUGAAAUGCGCAGAGAUAUGGAGGAACACCAGUGGCGAAGGCGACUUUCUGGUCUGUAACUGACGCUGAUGUGCGAAAGCGUGGGGAUCAAACAGGAUUAGAUACCCUGGUAGUCCACGCCGUAACGAUGAGUGCUAAGUGUUAGGGGGUUUCCGCCCCUUAGUGCUGCAGCUAACGCAUUAAGCACUCCGCCUGGGGAGUACGACCGCAAGGUU
rnacentral:rRNA from 1 species